GGGGGCGUACUGGUUUCGACAGGUGAAUAGAAGUAUAGAUCGCAUCGACUGGUUGAUCUAAAGGCCAGUUUAAAAAUAGAUCACAUUUUAGUUGCCGAUACUUCUGUAUUAGCACUCGCUGCUUAGUGAGGGAGGUUGCCUAAACCUUCUCGCCCAAUUAGGCUGACUCCGAUAAUCGGAUAGGGAAUUUAUACCUGAAUUAAAUAUAAAGAUAAGUGUAAUCACUUUGACGUUGGAAAGACAAACAGUUUUGUCUGUAGUAUUAAUAACAACAGACUAACGAUGUAGAAGUUUAUGUGGAAUUUACACUGGACAGGGGUUCGACUCCCCUCGCCUCCACUU
rnacentral:tmRNA from 1 species